UGCGCCUCCUCUAGGCGCCAACUCAGGUCACAGGGUUGAGUAGGGAGGACCCGGGAGUGGCGAAGGCGGCGGCCCGUCUUGGCCCCCUGCGGCGCCGGAGCGCGGGAUCCUGUGGACCGCAGAGUCGACCUGCAAGACUUGAUCAAGAUUCCCCAUUGCAUUCAGAUAGUUUUUAUUGCUGCUUCCCUGAAAGCAUGACAAUCAAUUGCAGGCCAGAGUACUUUGUCUUCCACAGAGGAAUGCCUCAGAAUCCCAUGGAAAAGGACAAUGCCAGAGACUUUGGGGAAAUGGCUUCUGAUGGCACCAUUUAAACAACACUGAGACCAUACUUGUGGACUGAGUCAGGAUUUUUAGAAUUCUAGUCAAGAAACCAAGGGUUCAAUGGGUUCAUAGCCUGACAUCCAAAGGUACAAGAAUUAACUACACAGCACUGAGUGAACUGAUGAGAGAUGAUUACAGUUUUUGUCUCAACUAUUGUUGAUAUUUUUGUAAUGUUCUAUUUUCUGGAUAUUUAAGGAAGCCCUUUUUCUUUUCUGUUAAGCUAUAUAUAAUAACAACUUAGUAAGUAUAACUCUGCCUUCAUUUCUGACUCUGAUUUUGUAAAUUGAAAUGAAACAUUUGUAAUGAUAUGUUGUACUCCUUGCCUGACUUCUCCAGAAUUUGGAAACUAUUAUCGAAUAUUCUUAAUUUCAUGACAAUGUCAUUGUCAUAUUUUUAUGACAAUAUAGUUAUUGGCAUAGAUUCAGUAAGAAUCUGUCCUUAUUUUACCAGGACAUAAUUGGAAACAUUGGUUAUACACCCAAGGAUUUGCCUGGAAUGUUAUAUUUGAGAA